GGUGAUAAAGAAAAGGUACCUCCUAAUUUGUUCUCUGUCUCUCUACACUUGUCUUUGUUUAUAUAACAGUAGUGGCCUCCUGGCUUGUAGUUGGGUAAUGCAGAGAGAGGUUUGGAAUUGAAGAACUAAAAUAAUGCAGAGUUGAAGGUUUUGAACGGGAAGCUUGAACAAAUAGUUUACUUUUUCUCAUGUCUUUGAUUAGUCUCAUCCUAUCUAUGUCUGUUUUUUGCGUGCAAGAACUCCAUUCUGUCUGUGUGACUAUGUGUGACCGUGUGUGACCUUGACUGUGUGUGUGACUGACUGCGUGUGUAUUUCUUUGUCUGUUUCUUGUGUGCAAGCUCCAUUGUGUGUAUGUGUUGACUGUGACUGUGUAUUGACUGCGACUGUGUGUAUGUGUGUAUGUAUGUGUUGACUGUGACUGUGUAUUGACUGCGACUGUCUGUAUGUGUGUAUGUGUGUGUUGACUGUGACUGUGUGUCAUUGUGCAAGCACUCCAUAACAACCUAUUGGCACCUACCUCUGGAUAUUUCAAUAUAAGGUCAUGGGCAUGUCAUUUUAUGACCUACCUCUGUAGUUGGUAGUAUCAUUGCCCUUUGGACACUCUUCAAUGCAUUGCUGUAUAUUUUCCUGCCACAAGUAUGAUGUUUGUGCUCAGAAUGAUGUAUAUGUAGAAUCCAGGGUGGAUGGAGGUUUUCAUGAUGGCUAAUUUGAUUUGUUAUGGUUCUGAUGGUGUGCUUCUUGUGUUCGAACUGAAGCCGUGGAUCACUCAUCAACCUGGUCUGUGUUUGUAUGCUUAAUUAUUUCCGGAUAGGACAGAGGUGCAAUGUUUACAUCCAUGACAGAAGGUUCUUUAGCACUGAACUCAUCAAAGAUCCUUGGACUCAAGAGGUCACUACCUGGACGUAUAGGCAAGCAAUGUCGGGAGAGGUAUUCUUUUGAUUGUUUUAUUUGUAUAUAUGGUUUGCUGAUAUCCAUUUUCCCCCUAUGUGCAAGACAAAUGGGGGAUGUUUGUCUAUUGAUGCAUUGCAGGUCAGCUACCAGAACUUCUUGCUGCUUAUCCUGGAUGUUUCCGAACAUGCUCCCAAACAUGUUCAAUUUAUCCGCCCUAGGACAGCCACUGCCAUGACACAGCGGGUUACUCGGCAUGCUCGGCGUGUUUACUUUGGUGGACUUACUCCGAUCGCUAAUGAACAGACAGUUGCUCUAUUCUUCAAUCAAGUUAUGGCUGCUAUCGGGGGAAAUGCAUUUGGUCUAGGUGGCAUAAUCAUCUGAAUCCAAACAUAUGGAACGAUGCUUGGACUACUGAGGAGGAACAUGCACUGAUUAAUGCCAUCAGGUAUAUGGGAAUAAAUGAGCAGAAAUAGCGAAAGUUAUUCCUGGAAGGUACUGCAUGCCAAACAACUUACAUCAUGGGUCUUGCUUGUAGUAUUAGCUUUCUGUU